rnacentral:rRNA from 1 species
GACGUAGGGGGCAAGCGUUGUCCGGAUUUAUUGGGCGUAAAGAGCUCGUAGGUGGUUCGGUAAGUCGGGUGUUAAACCCCCAGGCUCAACCUGGGGACGCCACUCGAUACUGCUGUGACUAGAGUCCGGUAGGGGAGCGUGGAAUUCCUGGUGUAGCGGUGAAAUGCGCAGAUAUCAGGAGGAACACCAGCGGCGAAGGCGGCGCUCUGGGCCGGUACUGACACUGAGGAGCGAAAGCGUGGGUAGCAAACAGG